rnacentral:rRNA from 1 species
CAGACCUCUAAUCGGAAAAGACUACCCGCUGAGUUA